rnacentral:rRNA from 1 species
UACGUAGGGUGCAAGCGUUAAUCGGAAUUACUGGGCGUAAAGCGUGCGCAGGCGGCUAUGCAAGACAGAUGUGAAAAUCCCCGGGCUCAACCUGGGAACUGCAUUUGUGACUGCAUGGCUAGAGUGCGGCAGAGGGGGAUGGAAUUCCGCGUGUAGCAGUGAAAUGCGUAGAGAUCGGAAAAGAACACCAACGGCGAAAGCACUCUGCUGGGCCGACACUGACACUGAGAGACGAAAGCUAGGGGGAGCGAAUGGG